rnacentral:lncRNA from 1 species
AACCCCUCUGAAAGCUAAAUAAACGGCAAGGGAUACCUUUUUGAACACUGGAUCCUCAGCUUGCAAGCUCUUUGCUAGCAUCCUGGCCAUCAUAGAUUUCCUUAACUGAAGGUUUUUGUCAUCUGUUACUUUGUCACCAUGUCUUGAGGUCCCGAUGAUUGUGUCAACAAUCCCUUCAAUAUCUGCAUCUUCGACACAGUUUAAGAAUUCCGAGAGCUGUUCAGUGCAAUUUGAUAUUGUUCUUUCCAUGUCAGAGGCUUGCUCGCUCGAGAGGAUUUGCCUAAAUAUAAGAAUGCUGCAAACCAAAAAUAAAAUAUUAAAUCCUUUCUUCAUCUGGGAACCGGACCAGGCAUGUCCAAGUUCCAACCAACAAAUAAUUUGCAAGAUCUAACAAAUACCUUGUU